AUAAAAAAGUAAAAAUAAGAUUAAAAGACGAGAAGACCCUAUAGAGUUUAAUAGAUAAUUAUAAUUUGAAUUAUAUAUAAAUUUUAAAUUUAAUUAUAAUAAUUUAUUUUGUUGGGGUGAUAAAAAAAUUAAAAUAACUUUUUUUUUUUAGUUUAAACAUAGAUAAGUGAUUAAUUGAUCCGUAAAUUAUGAUUAAAAGAAAAAAUUACCUUAGGGAUAACAGCGUAAUUUUUUCUUUUAGUUCUUAUAAGAGAAAAAGUUUGCGACCUCGAUGUUGGAUUAAAAUAAAAUUUAAAUGCAAGAGUUUAAAAUUUUGAUCUGUUCGAUC
rnacentral:rRNA from 1 species